CGGUGGAGCAUGUGGUUUAAUUCGAAGCAACGCGCAGAACCUACCAGCCCUUGACAUACCGGUCGCGGACACAGAGAUGUGUCUUUCAGUUCGGCUGGACCGGAUACAGGUGCUGCAUGGCUGUCGUCAGCUCGUGUCGUGAGAUGUUGGGUUAAGUCCCGCAACGAGCGCAACCCUCGCCCUUAGUUGCCAGCAUUUAGUUGGGCACUCUAAGGGGACUGCCGGUGAUAAGCCGAGAGGAAGGUGGGGAUGACGUCAAGUCCUCAUGGCCCUUACGGGCUGGGCUACACACGUGCUACAAUGGUGGUGACGGUGGGCAGCGAGCACGCGAGUGUGAGCUAAUCUCCAAAAGCCAUCUCAGUUCGGAUUGCACUCUGCAACUCGAGUGCAUGAAGUUGGAAUCGCUAGUAAUCGCGGAUCAGCAUGCCGCGGUGAAUACGUCCCCGGGCCUU
rnacentral:rRNA from 1 species